rnacentral:rRNA from 1 species
GACGGAGGGUGCUAGCGUUGCUCGGAAUCACUGGGCGUAAAGCGCACGUAGGCGGCUUGUUAAGUCAGGGGUGAAAUCCUGGAGCUCAACUCCAGAACUGCCUUUGAUACUGGCGAGCUUGAGUCCGGGAGAGGUGAGUGGAACUGCGAGUGUAGAGGUGAAAUUCGUAGAUAUUCGCAAGAACACCAGUGGCGAAGGCGGCUCACUGGCCCGGUACUGACGCUGAGGUGCGAAAGCGUGGGGAGCAAACAGG